UACGUAGGGUGCAAGCGUUGUCCGGAAUUAUUGGGCGUAAAGAGCUCGUAGGCGGUUUGUCGCGUCGGCUGUGAAAACUCGGGGCUCAACCCCGAGCCUGCAGUCGAUACGGGCAGACUAGAGUGCUGUAGGGGAGACUGGAAUUCCUGGUGUAGCGGUGAAAUGCGCAGAUAUCAGGAGGAACACCGAUGGCGAAGGCAGGUCUCUGGGCCAUUACUGACACUGAGAAGCGAAAGCAUGGGGAGCGAACAGG
rnacentral:rRNA from 1 species